GAUGAACGCUGGCGGCGUGCCUAAUACAUGCAAGUCGAGCGAACAGAUAAGGAGCUUGCUCCUUUGACGUUAGCGGCGGACGGGUGAGUAACACGUGGGUAACCUACCUAUAAGACUGGAAUAACUCCGGGAAACCGGGGCUAAUGCCGGAUAACAUUUAGAACCGCGUGGUUCUAAAGUGAAAGAUGGUUUUGCUAUCACUUAUAGAUGGACCCGCGCCGUAUUAGCUAGUUGGUAAGGUAACGGCUUACCAAGGCAACGAUACGUAGCCGACCUGAGAGGGUGAUCGGCCACACUGGAACUGAGACACGGUCCAGACUCCUACGGGAGGCAGCAGUAGGGAAUCUUCCGCAAUGGGCGAAAGCCUGACGGAGCAACGCCGCGUGAGUGAUGAAGGUCUUCGGAUCGUAAAACUCUGUUAUUAGGGAAGAACAAAUGUGUAAGUAACUGUGCACGUCUUGACGGUACCUAAUCAGAAAGCCACGGCUAACUACGUG
rnacentral:rRNA from 1 species